CCCCUCCUUCCCAAUACCCCAGAGUAUUCUUUCUAGGAAGAUACCACAUCUGCUUACCAAGAGUCUUGGGAGGUGGGGUUUCCAGAAGGUUUUUAUUAAUUUUAUGCUUCCUGUCAAUUCAAUUGCAGAUCCUAAUCCAUGAAAGGACCAUCAAGGAGAUAUCAGGAGAAAGGACUCUGACAAAUCAGCCUGCAGGAAAAUACAGUGUAGAAGUGAAUGUGGUCAAAAUCAAAAUCAUGAUCAUGAGAUGACAAAGGCAACCACAACAUUUUCAGUGAACUUCAAAAGCUUUUGUGUCCCUGUGAUGAGUUGGUGUGUUAUCCUCUGUUCAUGCGAUUGGAAUCACGCUAUGAAAGCUGAGAAAACUGGUUCUGAAUUUUUUAAGAGGUUCAUCAUGUCCCACCAGAAAACUCACCCAUGCAGAACAGGAAUGUGUGCCUUACAGCUUCUGUCUUCUAAGAAAAGCGUUUAUUGCUGGCUGAAGGAAAGGCUCUGAUUGCCAGGGUGUGUUCGUUCUCCAAGGACACUGAGCAUUUUCCAGUUCUGAAUCUUGCGAGUUGUGUUUCAAAUAAAAUGUUUCUACCUGGUGGGCCA
rnacentral:lncRNA from 1 species